GUCGGUGGUUUUAGCGGUGGGGAAACGCCCGGUCCCUUUCCGAACCCGGAAGCUAAGCCCUCCAGCGCCGAUGGUACUGCAUGCGGGA
rnacentral:rRNA from 1 species